rnacentral:rRNA from 1 species
UGGGGAAUAUUGGACAAUGGGCGAAAGCCUGAUCCAGCCAUGCCGCGUGAGUGACGAAGGCCUUAGGGUUGUAAAGCUCUUUUGGCGGGGAAGAUAAUGACGGUACCCGCAGAAUAAGCUCCGGCUAACUUCGUGCCAGCAGCCGCGGUAAUACGAAGGGAGCUAGCGUUGUUCGGAAUCACUGGGCGUAAAGCGCACGUAGGUGGAUAGUUAAGUGAGGGGUGAAAGCCCGAGGCUCAACCUCGGAAUUGCCUCUCAUACUGGCUGUCUCGAGUCCGAGAGAGGUGGGUGGAAUUCCUAGUGUAGAGGUGAAAUUCGUAGAUAUUAGGAAGAACACCGGUGGCGAAGGCGGCCCGCUGGCUCGGUACUGACACUGAGGUGCGAAAGCGUGGGGAGCAAACAGGAUUAGAUACCCAUGUAGUCCCUGAGCGGGCUGGCAAGGCGCAU